rnacentral:misc_RNA from 1 species
GAUGAAGAACGUAGUGAAAUGCGAUAAGUAAUGUGAAUUGCAGAAUUCAGUGAAUCAUCGAAUCUUUGAACGCACCUUGCACCCUUUGGAAUUUUCCAAAGGGUAUGCUCGUUUGAGUGUCAUUGUACUCUCACACUCUCCGAUCCUUUGGAUAUGGGGAGCGGUGGACUUGGGUGCUUGCUGCUUCCUUGUGGCUCACCUGAAAUGCGUCAGUGCAUCUCUUGAUUGGACAUAGUACGGCGUGAUAAGUGUCUUCGCCGGCACCUCAUAAGAGGGUGGCCGAUCGGGAGCUCUGUGCUUUCAAAUCGUCUUCGGACAAUCCCUGACAACUUGACCUCAAAUCGAGUAGGACUACCCGCUGAACUUAAGCAUAUCAAUAAGCGGAGGA